GCUUACGGCCAUACCACCCUGAGAACGCCCGAUCUCGUCUGAUCUCGGAAGCUAAGCAGGGUCGGGCCUGGUUAGUACUCGGAUGGGAGACCGCCUGGGAAUACCAGGUGCUGUAAACU
rnacentral:rRNA from 1 species